CACUUUAUUAUAUUUUUGUUGUUCACUUUGGCUGAUCAGACGUCAACUCGACAUUAAGUUUUCUGUUAUGUAUUGAAGUCGUUCUGAUCUGCUGGCCACCGUAGUGAUUAGGAAUUGCACUAUUCUAGUUUUGUUAUAUGCCGGCCACCGUAGUUAGGAAGUUCGAGGUUGUUCCUGACUGUAAUGACACACGUUCGGAAAAUAGAUGCAUUCUGGGAAGUGAUGUGUUUCAAUGUAGGCUACUCGUGUUUCCUUCACUCAGACAUGUGUGCUGAUUCUUUUCCAAUUUUGAGCAAGGAUAUAAAAUAUGAAGACUGUACUUUUUCAUUAAGAUUGAUAUUUUUGCACAAUGUGUUGUGCUACGCGUAACGCGUCAUUGUAUGCGACGGUCUAAGGAGCAGUCCUAUGCGUCCACCCACCAUGCGUCCACCUGUCCACCACUAUUAUUUUUCUUUCAGAAACAAGUUGCAAGGUCAGAUGUGUUGUCCUCCUACCCCCAACUUCCGGUCCUAGUCCCAGUAGGCCCUUGUUGGUCUACCUGUGAGAGUACCUGAGCUACAUCUCUGAAGUCUCACGGUAAAAUGCUGGAAUACCUGAGCUACUUCCCUGAAGGUGAACACUCAUACAGAGACGCUACGGAGUACUACGCAGAGGCAUGGAGGUACAGUUACAAGGUCAACCCCAGCAUAGAUGAGUACGGACUACACCCAAGCAGAGUCCCGCCGUAAAAUGCUGGAGUACCUGAGCUACUUCCCUGAAGGUGAACACUCGUACAGAGACGCUACGGAGUACUACGUAGAGGCAUGGAGGUACAGUUACAAGGUCAGAGUCGUUUCACUGGACGCAGUCGGACUCGACUUUCCAUUGACCCAGUUCUGCUGUAAAACACUGUAAUACCUGAGCUAAAUCUCUUAAAUUGAACGCUCAUACAGAGACGAUACUGAGUACUACGCAGAGGCUUGGAGGUACAGCUACAAGAGUACUGAAUUGAUGAGUACUGAAUCUACACAAGCAUAGUCCUGCUGGAAAAUGCUGGAGUAGCCUACCUGAGCUACAGUUCUGAAGCCCUGUAUACUUUGUGUGUGUGUGUGUGUGUGUGUGUGUGUGUGUGUGUGUGUCUGUCUGUGUGUCUGUGUGUCUGUGUGUCUGUGUGUCUGUGUGUGUGUGUGUGUGUGUGUGUGUGUGUGUGUGUGUGUGUGUGUGUGUCUGUGUGUCUGUGUGUGUGUCUGUGUGUGUGUGUCUCUGUGUGUGUGUGUGUGUGUGUGUGUGUGUGUGUGUGUGUGUAUAUCUGUGUGUGUGUGUGUGUGUGUGUGUGUGUGUGUGUGUGUGUCUGUGUGUGUUUGUGUGUCUCUGUGUGUGUGAGAGUGUGUCUGUGUCUGUGUCUGUGUCUGUGUGUGUGUGUGUGUGUGUGUCUGUGUGUGUGACUACUACAAAAUGUAAUGCACUAUUUUCAUGUGCUAAGCCCUGUAUACUUUGUGUGUGUGUGUGUGUGAGAGAGAGAGAGAGAUUCUGUGUGUGUGUCUGUGUGUGUGUGUGUAUAUGUGUGUGUGUGUGUGUGUGUGUGUGUGUGUGUGUGUUUGUGUUUGUGUGUGUGUGAGAGAGAGUGUGUCUCUGUGUGUCUCUCUCUGUGUGUGUGUGUGUGGAGUACACUGGAGUACCUGAGCUACAUCUCUUAAAGUGAACACUCGUACAGAGACGCUAUUGAGUACUACGCAGAGGCUUGGAGUCCUGCUGUAAAACACUGGAGCACCUGAGCUACUUAAAGUGAACACUCGUACAGAGACGCUACUGAGUACCACGCAGAGGCUUGAAGGUAUUUGCUCCUGAUGUCCUGACCAGUACACAUACAGAAAGAAGUGUUCCACUACCAGUUUCCAUUCAUCUGUGGGUCUCCUGACAUUGGGAGAGCGAGGAUUUCAAUGUCUGACUGCUCUUGAGUUAACAUAAUCAUCAUGCAGUCCUUGGAGAACGUCGGGGUGUGUGUGUGUGUGUGUGUGUGUGUGUGUGUGUGUGUGUGUGUGUGUGUGUGUGUGUGUGUGUGUGUGUGUGUGUGUGUGUGUGUGUGUCUGUGUGUCUGUGUGUCUGUGUGUCUGUGUGUCUGUGUGUCUGUGUGUCUGUGUGUCUGUGUGUCUGUGUCUGUGUCUGUGUCUGUGUCUGUGUCUGUGUCUGUGUCUGUGUCUGUGUCUGUGUCUGUGUCUGUCUCUGUGUCUCUGUGUCUCUGUGUCUCUGUGUCUCUGUGUGUCUGUGUGUCUGUGUGGGUUAGCCAGGAGCUAGGUCACAUCCUGUGCAUCCUCACAUCCUGUGGUUUACUGCAAUGGGUAGUUACAUCCCACACCCAUGGUAACUGAUGAAAUACACAUCAUGCGUUCCACGCGCAAACAGCUGUUUGCAGGAAUAUGCUAUUGGCUUGAGCAAUACUGCUAUUUGUACACUUAGACUGAACAUUCCAGAAUCACACCCAACAUGAUGCCAUCCUGAGUGCUUAUCAUUGUUUUUGCACUUAAAAAUUAGUUUCUUUAAAUCAUACUGGAAAUUGUUACCAGAUACAUUUUUGAUCUUAUUAUAUUUAUUGACUUAAGAUAUUGUGUUGUGAUUUAUUUGUAUUGAUGGGCCUUGAGUACUUGGUCUUAUUUCCCUUUCCAUGUAUCAGUGUACAAGGCACAAUAAAACCUCUUUAAAGGAG